rnacentral:rRNA from 1 species
AGCCCCCUACGGGGCGCAGCAGUGGGGAAUAUUGGACAAUGGGGGAAACCCUGAUCCAGCGACGCCGCGUGAGUGAAGAAGUAUUUCGGUAUGUAAAGCUCUAUCAGCAGGGAAGAAAGAAAUGACGGUACCUGACUAAGAAGCCCCGGCUAACUACGUGCCAGCAGCCGCGGUAAUACGUAGGGGGCAAGCGUUAUCCGGAUUUACUGGGUGUAAAGGGUGCGCAGGCGGACCAUCAAGUCAGCGGUAAAAUCGUGGGGCCCAACCCCAUCCCGCCGUUGAAACUGGCAGUCUUGAGUGAGCGA